CAUCUGGACUUCGACAAGGAAAACCUCCUGUUUGGUAUUUAGUCGAGUGUCCGGUACAAGAAGGUGGACUUGCGUGUGGGUAUUACGUCAUGAGGUUCAUGCUCGAUAUCGUCAACUAUUGCAAAGAUGUUGGUGAUCUUCGAAAGGUUUAUGCGAAUUCCACACCACGUUUGAGGAACUUCACCAAAGAA